UCAAGAUGGCGCCUAACGAGUUUGGCCGCUCCCGGCACCCGUACUCAAGAUGGCGCCUCACCAAUAUGGCCGCCCCCAGGUUCUGUAUGCCAAUAUGGUGCAUCUCCAGAAUGGCCGCCCCCAGAGAUUUUGGAUGCAAAUGGACAUUUAUGUGGGAAAACGAGGAAUGACAGCAAUGCGGGAGGCACCGGUGCAGAGCUCUGUGUGUGUACAACAGGAUUUGUGCCCUGGCGCAUUCCGAGUGGGAGCAGCAGCUGGAUGUUGGCACUUUAAAGCUGGAGAAGAAGUAAACCAUCCAGGUUCCAGCCUCAGAUCACAGAUGAUUAUGGUCUGGAUAACUUUGACACACAGCUCACCAGCGAGCCUGUGCAGCUAACCCCAGAUGAUGAAGAUAUAAUAAAGCGAAUAGAUCAGUCAGAGUUUGAAGGAUUUGAAUACAUUAAUCCAUUGUUGCUGUCAACAGAAGGAACAGUAUGAAGGAAUGACAUCUUUGCUGUGGACAGUGUGAAUGACCUUUAACUUUAUCCUUAACCACAGUAUAUGCAUGCGAGGCUGGGGAACUGUAACAUUUUGGAUGGAGACCAAUGAUUUAAAAAUAAACCAACAAACAAGAAAACCCCAACAAAUUGCUGCUGAAAAUCACAGAAGAGAACAAUGAUUUUGGGGGUGUCUUCUGCCACUUGAUGAUUCUGGUUCUGGGCACUGACACAGCUGACUUCAUUAAUGAAGGAGUUUGCAUUUUGUGCCUGUUUCAUGAAGGAUUGAGACGUUCAUUGCAUCCCUGGAAAAGGAGAUUCUGGAAAACUUUGAGACCUACACACUUCCUACAAACGCUUGAUGCAAUGAGCUACCAAUCGAAGAGUAUUACAGUGUAACAUCCUGAAGAAUAAAAUACAUUACAGUGGUGUUGAAGCUUAUUUUUGAUGCCUUUUUUCACAAGUGGUACCUGUCUAAACAUCUCAGAUAUAUUUAAAAGGAGUUGUGUUUUAUUAACAAUCACAACAUAAAUUUGGGUACAAGAUUUAAGUGCCUAAAUGGAUAAAACUGCUUUGAAGAAUUAUUAUGUAUUUGGAACAUUCUUAAACCUGGUAAGUUCUGCUCAUCAAUAUAAAGUGACUAUUAACAUGUGAACAAAACAGUUCUCAGCUACAGCCUCAUGUUUGUUGGCACCUUUCUUGGAUUUGAAACGCAGAGUGACUCAGUUACAUGAAUUCCAAAUUAGAAUUUGCAGAUUUCUAAAUGUUGUCUUAAAACUCCAAAUUUACCAAAAUGUUUCAAUUGAAGAAAACUAAAUUUGCACACAAAGGAGUUAGGAAAAGACUUAAGCAAGUGCCUACACCUACAGUUGUAUAUGGGAUUUUUGAAAAGUAUUUUUAUCAGCCGUACAGAUAUUCAGAAAUGGAACAAAAGUGUAAUUAAAGCAUAGCCUUGAAGUCUAAGUAGUAAAUCUAGAAUAACCAGAAUCUAGAAUACACUUUCCUGCUAAAGCACACCUCCUACUUCUGAUAAACUGUCUGCUUCCAGUUACUCACUGUUUAUUAAUAAUGAAUUGUUCUACUUCAGAAAAUGGGAAGGUUUGGUAAAAUGAUUUGCAUUAAAGUAAUAAUUUUUUUAAUGGAUGGAAAAUGAAUAUUGUAAGAAAUUGGAUAAAGCAAAAGCUCUAUCAAAUCCCUUCUCAUGGGAGGUUGGGUGGGGGCUGGGGGCAGGGAAAGGCUGGCUUAUAUCAAAGUCUAUCAGCUUGGAGAAGCUCACCUCACUGUGUUUGAGAUUAGGGAGUGUAUGUUGCUGUCUGGAGCUUUGGGUGCUGUGAAGGUGUACCUGGCUCUGGGAUCACCAGUUGUUUCUUGCUAGC